GAUUAUGGCUCAGAUUGAACGCUGGCGGCGUGCUUAACACAUGCAAGUCGCGCGUGAAAGGACUUCGGUCCGAGUAAAGCGGCGCACGGGUGAGUAACGCGUGGAUGAUCUACCCAUGAGUUAGGAAUAACGGCUGGAAACGGUCGCUAAUACCAAAUACGCUCCGAUUUCAACUUCGGGGGAAAGGUGGCCUCUGCUUGCAAGCUACUGCUCAUGGAUGAGUCCGCGUCCCAUUAGCUAGUUGGUGGGGUAACGGCCCACCAAGGCGACGAUGGGUAGCCGGUCUGAGAGGAUGACCGGCCACACUGGGACUGGAACACGGCCCAGACUCCUACGGGAGGCAGCAGUGGGGAAUAUUGCGCAAUGGGCGAAAGCCUGACGCAGCGACGCCGCGUGAGGGGAAUGAAGGUCCUCGGAUCGUAAACCUCUGUCAGGAGGGAAGAACCGUCACGGUGCUAAUCAGCCGUGGUCUGACGGUACCUCCAAAGGAAGCACCGGCUAACUCCGUGCCAGCCGCCGC
rnacentral:rRNA from 1 species